rnacentral:lncRNA from 1 species
AGCAGGCUCACACCCUGCCCUUCAGAGUUGCAGCAGCUAAUGCUGAUGCCAGGACCUUGUCCUGCCAGGAAGCCUCUGAUUAGGGCUGUGAACCAACUUCCUUUUCACAUCUGCAAGGACACUUGGAGGCAACUGCCCAAGGCCACUCUGAGGAGGGUUGAAUGUUCUUUAUUAAAAGGACUGAGGAUCAUGUGUGUUGGUGGGCCUUGGACUCUGCUCUAAGCUCAAAUUUUGCAGUUUCUGCUGUCAUCACAGCUGGGAAUGAGAAAGGGAAGGGGCUCCAGUUGGUCUCCCUCUGCCUCUGGAGCACACGUGGAGGACAUGAGGCUUCCGCAGGAACAGCUCUGAAAGCUGAGUUCUCGGGUCCCUGUGAAGGAGGGAAGCUUGCCUGCCUUGGAGCGUGAAAAAGUCUUGCUGGACAGAAGUCUCACGGUUUAAAACUGGGAAGGGAGAGGAUUGAGAUCACACUAGAAUGCACAGAAAAUUCUUAAAACAAAAAAAUGAGAGAAACUUCAUCAGAAUGUGAAAAGAACUAUAAAGCUACAGUGCUGAAGAGAGGGCAAUACUGGCACUAGAAUGAGAAGAUUCAUGGAACACAGUGGAAAAUGCAGUAAGAGAGCUGCAUGUAUGUAAUAUUUUAUCAUGUGAUAAAGUGAUAUAUUAAUAUUCA